UUUGAAUGUUUACACAAAUAACACAAGGAAUCUGGAGUCUACAUCAUUGUUUUGUUAACUGAAACUGGCUGCUGUUAUGUUUAUUAACUGUUGGAUGGUCCCUGGUUCUUCAUAGUCUGGAUGUCAGUGAUGCAGGAUGCAAGGCUUCUUGCCUUCAUAGAAUUGCAACUAAUGGGAUCAUUUACGAUGUGGCUGUUGAUCAUCCAAUGAAUGUAGCAGUUACAGUUGGCUAUGAUAAGAAGAUAAAUGCAUUUGAUAUUCGAUCUGGAAAACUAAUUAGAUGGUUUCAGCACGAUGGAGACGUUGGUGACCCAAUAAAGGUUGCGGUCGAUGGAAGCGGAAGUUAUCUAGCCUGCGCUUUGUCACGACCGCACUUCCUAAGGAUAGGAAGCACGGGAAAAUCGUGACUAGUGGGAGAACUAAGAAGCGGGGAAGAAGGGGGAAUAAUCAAUUCAAGGCAAUACAACUUAAC